rnacentral:tRNA from 1 species
AGUUAAUGAACUUGUAAAGUAUAUAUUUUGAAAAUAUAAAAAAGAAAUAUUAAUUUUCUAUUAACUU